GUUGGUCAGUAUGAUUUGAAGGUGGAACGAGGCUGUGCGUCUUUGGAACAGAACAGCACGUGGUCUGCUAACCAAUGUGACGAGUACGAUGACGUAGAUUCCUCGGAGAGCGCCUAUGUAUGUACAUGUGAUUACGAGGACAGCUGUAAUGCCGAUGACUCGGAUUAUCACCAGUGCUACUACUGUGAAACGAAAGUCAACGACUACACAUGUAAAAACGACUUAGUAAAUAACCACGAGCCAAUAGCGUGCCUCACUGGACAUUCUGGAUGUGGUACUAGAACUGUAGCCUACAACACAUGGCUGUUCACCGAUGAUGCCGAAAGAUACUGUACUGACGAAGAAACUACCGACGCCGAUGGUGAUUGCACGACCGAUAAUUCGGGAUUUGAGACCUGUCUCUACUACUGUUCCGGAAAUGCAUGCAAUGACAUUGAAAACAUCGCCAGUAGAUCCACUAUCCCAACCACAUUGAUAUUUACCUAGAUUAUAGCAUCCCUUGUACCCUGGUGAAACCACUGCUAACCUGAGCGAUAAGCGAGUAACCUUAGUCGCUCUCAACACACAGUAGCAUAGAAAAGUCGCCUGGUUAUUUCCCCCGAUUAUUUUGUACUUGUUAAUUAGUUCGACUUGUAUACAGUCUCUUUUUUAAUUCUUGGUGAUUUUUUUUCAUUUAAAUAAAAUAUUAUGGGAGCGUGUAAACGGCGAAAGCCGCGUUACCGCCGCGAAAGCCUGCUUACCGAGAAAUAAACAAAAUAACCAUAAACAUCAUGAAUGUAUAUUUCGCAGUAACCCGGCGUUCGACAUUUAUAUACUCUCAUUAACAUACAAAUCAUUAUUGUAUACUUUCGCACUUUUGUGGAUUUGGCAAUGGAUUUCUCCCUGAGACUUGAUACAUUCUUUUUUUUAUUCAUAGUCAGGUUUUUCGUGCUGAACUUCAUGCUCAAACCAAAACGAAUGUUGCAAUGAAGAUAAUGUCUGUAACUGUUCCAAUAAAGUUGUAUUGUAUGCUUA